rnacentral:rRNA from 1 species
GCUUGCUGAAUACACGACCGGCGCACGGGUGAGUAACACGUUUGCAACCUUCCUCUAACUGGAGAAUAGCCCGAAGAAAUUCGGAUUAAUACUCCAUAAAGUCAAUUUAAGGCAUCUUUUAUUGAUUAAAGCUCCGGCGGUUAGAGAUGGGCAUGCGUGUCAUUAGCUAGUUGGUGAGGUAACGGCUCACCAAGGCCACGAUGACUAGGGGGUCUGAGAGGAUGAUCCCCCACACUGGUACUGAGACACGGACCAGACUCCUACGGGAGGCAGCAGUGAGGAAUAUUGGGCAAUGGACGCAAGUCUGACCCAGCCAUACCGCGUGCAGGAUGACUGCCCUAUGGGUUGUAAACUGCUUUUGUUUGGGAAGAAACCCCCGAUCGUGAUCGGGGCUGACGGUACCAUACGAAUAAGCAUCGGCUAACUCCGUGCCAGCAGCCGCGGUAAUACGGAGGAUGCAAGCGUUAUCCGGAUUCAUUGGGUUUAAAGGGUGCGCAGGCGGAAUAUUAAGUCAGUGGUGAAAUCCUGCAGCUUAACUGUAGAACUGCCAUUGAUACUGAUAUUCUUGAAUAUAGUUGAGGUGGGCGGAAUGUGUAAUGUAGCGGUGAAAUGCUUAGAUAUUACACAGAACACCAAUUGCGAAGGCAGCUCACUAAACUAAUAUUGACGCUGAGGCACGAAAGCGUGGGUAGCAAACAGGAUUAGAUACCCUGGUAGUCCACGCUGUAAACUAUGAUCACUCGCUGUUGGCAAUACAUCGUCAGCGGCUGAGCGAAAGCAUUAAGUGAUCCACCUGGGGAGUACGGUCGCAAGAUUGAAACUCAAAGGAAUUGACGGGGGCCCGCACAAGCGGAGGAACAUGUGGUUUAAUUCGAUGAUACGCGAGGAACCUUACCUGGGCUUAAAUGCAGAGCGACGUCCGCCGAAAGGUGGAUUCCUUCGGGCGAUCUGCAAGGUGCUGCAUGGUUGUCGUCAGCUCGUGCCGUGAGGUGUCGGGUUAAGUCCCAUAACGAGCGCAACCCUUAUCGUUAGUUGCCAGCGGGUAAUGCCGGGGACUCUAGCGAAACUGCCGGUGUAAACCGUGAGGAAGGUGGGGAUGACGUCAAAUCAGCACGGCCCUUAUGUCCAGGGCUACACACGUGUUAC